rfam:Camelus ferus unplaced genomic scaffold scaffold316, whole genome shotgun sequence.
CCCGCAGGUCUCAUAUCCACGGUUUUAAGUGCACAAGGUAGUUAGAACAGGAUCUGAAACUUGGAGCCAGCUAACUGAAUCAUUAAAAAACAACCGCAAAGAAAAUUCGCACCAACAGUAACACUCCAGAGACAGAUCAGAAACUAUAAAGUAUAUUUUGCUGGAAGGGUUACAGUUCUUCUUGAAGUCUGGAAUUAGUUGU